GGGGGCCACCAUACCAGCACCAACUCACCGGAUCCCAUCGGAACUCCGAAGUUAAGCGUGCUUGGGUGAGAGUAGUACUAGGAUAGGUGACCCCCUGGAAAGUCCUCGUGUUACAUCCU
rnacentral:rRNA from 1 species